rnacentral:lncRNA from 10 species
CAUUCAUUGGAUUAAGUCCCACUCGAAUCCAGUAUGACCUCAUUUUAACCUGAUUACAUCUGCUAAGACCCUAUUUCCAUAUAAACCCUCAUUCUGAGGUUCCAGUGAGGUCAUCUUCGUCUCUCAAGACCAGCCCAGUUGCCAGCUGAAUACCACUGAAUGAACAGCCAAACUGUCACUGGAGAUGAAGAGAGGGCCUUGGCCACUGUGCCAGGUGUGCCUGCUACAGUUCUUGGAAAACAGAGGCUGCUCAGUAGAGGAGGGUGAUAUAUCUUCCUGACAAAGCUCCUGCCAGGAGACGAUGUGCAUAACUCAGCCCUGAGCCUUUCUAUGAGCUCUGCCAAAUCCGACAGACAGCCAAAUAAAACUUUUGAUCCAGGCCAAGAUCCCAUCCUGAAGCCAAAAGGAAGAUUAAUUCAUUCUUGAUUUACUUAUUAAACAUUUGUUGUAUUAAAUAAGUAGAGUGAAAAGAAGGCCGAGUAAUCCUGGAGGAAUUUAUUUAUUCAACAAGCAUUGACUACCUACAAUGUGCCAGACAUCAACAAAAGGGCUAGGAAAAUGGUGGUAAACAAGACAGCAAAGAAAUGUUUUCUUAUGGAGCUCACAUAUGUAUACAGAAGAAAACGUAAAUACAUAAGAAGAUGUGGAUAGUGAUAAAUGAGAAUGAUGGGGGGUGGGCAGGGAAACACAAGAAGAGGCAUGUGGAAAUGUAAGCACUAGAGCAGCGGUCUACUUAGUGCAUCUGGUGAAUGGAAAAUGGGCCAGUGUGGCUGGUGUGGGAAAGAGUGGAAAUAGACAAGGUCGGAGAGGUUGACAGGGCCAGAUCAAGAAGGGCCUUUGAGCCAGAAUGAGGAGUGAGGAUUUCAUUCCAAGUACAGCAUAAGCCAAUGGAGAGUUUUAAGCACAGUGAUCAUGUGACCAACACUUAUUGAAAGUGAAGGAUUUGAAAGGGUUUUUGCAAAAGAAGUCAUUAUCUAAUUCAAGAUUUAUUGAGCUUAAACAAUUAUUGAACCUUUGUUAUGUGCCAGGUGCUGACGACAGAAAGAUGAAUAAGAUGCUGACUCUGUCCUCGAGGUACAUACAAUCCAGUGGAGACACACAGUCUUGUGCAUGAAUAAGAACAACAUGGCAAUAAUGAGCAACAGUGCCUUUGUGGGGCAAAGUCAUGUGGUGCCACUUCCAUCUGUUUUAUUAACAAACAGAACAUGGUCUCUUAAAAGAGGCUUUUCUGGAUGUGCUUUUUGUUUUUUUAAGUGCUGAAAGGUAUGUACUACAUUCCAGAAGAUAAAUAUGCCCCUAGUUUGGCUCUCCCAGAGGAAGUGUGAGCAUUCUAAGAAGAGGCACAAUGGAACCAAACGUCUCAAGACUUGUGUUCUCUUCCCUACAUGGUUGGGAGACACUGAAAUGAGAGCAGGUGUUUUUGGGAAUCCAGUCUUCAUUUUCUUCAUCAGUAAAAGAGGGUUAAAAUAUUUGCUCUAUAAAGUCCCCUCUAGCUGUCUCAUUCUGAAACCCAAGGGAAGCUUUGUCUGGAUCAUUCAUUUAUAGGCUACAUUUUUGCCUUAGUAAUAGGGAAUACUAACUUUGAACCCCAAUAAAGCAAAAUGUUAUCCCCCAAGGAGAAUUAUAGUCUUCCCAUUAGUAGAUGUAUAUUGCAAAACUUGUACUUAAUUAUGAUUAUUUAAAAUUUUUGAAUAUUUGUAAAAAUUUUAUAGAAUUUUAAAAAUGCUUUUGAAUUUUAACAACUUGUAGAAUAUUUUUUUCUCUCUUGUCUAGCUAGGUACCUAUAUUAUAUCCUUGAUUUUGUCUCAUGUCCUGAAAAGCCUAAAAUGUGGAUCUUUAUCAAAAAAGAAUGCCAAAUCUUGUUUUAAAACUGGAAUGCUGUGGAACACAAUGUUUCCCAGAGAGAAAUCCCUGAAAUUCUAUUCCCACUGAUCUUCAAUGCAGAAGAGGUACCAUGGUCAAAUGAAGGCCCUGACAAUUCCUGAAGUAAUAACAAAUUCACGACCACAAUCAAAUGAACGUGCAAAUCCAUUUCACUGUGUUUAACUGAAUGUUUUUCAAUAUCUGUGAAGACAGACUGUUCAUUGGAAAACAAUCCUCAAAAUGCACAUUGGGCCCUGGCCGUGAGCUGGGUUCUGUCUGGCACACUCCUGUGUUCUCUAGGCAUGUACUUUUAUUCAAAGCCUCCAGCUGCAAUGGUAGGGAAGUCUAUGUUUGUUUCAAGUUAUAGUCUUUCCCCUUUGCUGGACCAUCUUGGCUGCAAACUGGGAGCCACACAUGCCGAAACAAUACAUUUUCCUCCAAAUCCUGGAACUGUUCCUUCCUAAAGUCCCAUGCCUGGAUGCCAGUGGAAGCAGUCUGGCCUCAGAUUGAGGAGAUCUGAAUCUACAGACAAUGUAAGACAUUGAAGUUGCUUUUCCUUAUAGAGGUGAGGGGUUUGAGUCAUGUCACUUACAUUCUCUUGCUUGGUUUCCCCUGUGACUCUAAGAACAUUGUGCAGCACACUGUUUCCCCCUCAGUUUCCUUGUGGGACAUCUGAACCCAAUGCAUGCAGGGGCUGAACUCUGUGAAGCUCUCACUGGGUUCAGAUGAGCAGGGCUUGUGCCCUAACUCCUCUCCCUCUCCAAGCACUACCAUUCCAAUAAUAACUGCUAUCUCUUUUGAACUUUGUGAACCACCUGAGCAGGCUAUGACACUAGCCUUUAGCAGUGGCCAGAGUGAUUCACAUGGCACCUGCAGGGCCAAACUCAUUGAGGGACAUUGUUAGACAGUGUUCAACAACUGAGGCAUAGAUAACAGUUGAAUGAGUGAACAAAUGCCAUUCAGCCCCAGAGAGUUGCCUCCUGGUAGGCAGGGACUUGUGCAGUGUGAGGAUUCCAGACUGCUGUCUGUGCAAGGGAUACUAUGUAGAGAGGAGGCAGGGCAGGAAAAUUGAACAAGCAUAGGUUUGAGUCCCAGACCCGCCAAGCAGCCAAAUAUCACCUUAAUCAAGUUUUAAAACUAUUCCUGGGGAUGAGUUUUCUUCUGGAAUACCUACCUUGCUAGAUUCUUGUGAUAAUGAAGGCUUCAUAAGGGAACUUAUGUGACAACUAUGAAGGAUCUGACACAUGGUAAGAACUCAACGGAUUACAGUGAUGAUAAAGCAGUUAUUAGGGUUGAAGGCCUCAUCAGCCAUCACCCCGUCGACUCCCUAUAUUCAAGAUGAGGUGACUUAAUCAAUAUGCCAGUCAGUGGGGGAACCCAGGUUUCCUCAGUCCUAGUUUAGUGCUCUGUUACACAUUUCUGCCUUCAAUUAUACAUUAAUUUCUGAAAGAAAAAUUGCAGUUCUAACCUUGAAUAUCCCUGUAAAUUCUGGCUUUGCAUUGAAACCCGAAGGAUGGGUACCUGGCCUCCAGUGUUUGUGGGCUGCUCAAUGGGACUUUUUAACCACAAAGCUGAGAACAUUGCCUUCUAGAAAGAGGGCAUCUCUCUUGCUGACACUCACAGGUUGCCAGGCU